GCAGGCUGCAUGCCUUGGAGGCAUACCUGCUUUCUCUACCCUCUGGGCCACUGUCCAAAAGGGUGCCUGCCUAAUUCCUGCUACUUGGGUGACACAGAUGGAAUGCUGCUGAUAAGGGCUACAGAGGUAACACAGUACAUCUGGCUGCAGUCUCGGAGGCUGACUGCACCAGACACUUGCAGAAACAACAGCCAUGUGAGCUUAGACCCUCAUCCAAGGUUAUUUGAUCUAUGUCUGUGAAGUCCCACUAUAAUGAGAUCCUUAUCCUACAGCAGAUGCACGGUGGUGAUGGUAAUGAUGGUGGUGGUAGUGAUUGUGGUGGUGGUGGUUGGUGGGUUGGUGGUGGUGGUGGUGUGUGUGUGUGUUUGUGCUGGGUACUGAGUGCUGUGUGCAUAGGUGAAGGGUUUAGAGGGGUAAUUUAACAGUCCACGGUCCUGGUCUUUGACGUUUCCCUUGACAUCAAUCUGUAACACAGCAGGGCUGUGGACUUUCCUGCUUACUUUAAGUGCCUCACUUACAGCAUACUGCCUCAUUCAAUGUGCCGUUUCUGGGUCCAGAGACACGCUCUCGUCCUGCAAAAGCCAGGGCUUUGUACAGGUCCUGUCUCCUUCGGAAUCAGUACUUUCCUUUCCUCCUCUCCCUCUGGAGAAACCGUAGCACUGCCUAUGAAUUAGUUGUCCUACGGAAGUGGGAAGAGGCCAUCUCUUAAUUUACAUACUCACUUUCUUCCCACACUGGAUUUGUCACAGGGAACGGAACUAAGUCCGCUUCGCUCCCAUAGUAUCGGUUGUAACAAUUCAUGAAAUUCUAGACAUAGGGAACAGAUUCAUAGAAUUGCAAAGACAGUGUUGACAGGGAGAGAAAGCUUGAAUUUCUAUACCACAGCGUGGAUGGAAGUUCUAAACCAUAGUGCAUUUGUGACGAUUAUCAUCACGGACACAUGCGCAGAGGCUGAGAACCCCUCAGCCUCCAGACCCCCACAAAGAAGAUAGGAGCUGCGGUCCAUGGUCACAGGCAUUUCUUGACUUGCUCUGUUUGGCUGACCAAGACUGCUUGAAGGUCCUGGAGUCCUUAGAGCUCAUCCACCUAAGAGCUCAUCUAGUGUCCAGGAGUGAGAUCUGAGUGGGCUGAUGGACUAGGAGGACAGCACCGGCGAGAGAAAAAAAGAGCGGAAGCUUCUCCUCCAGCCUGUUUGAAGCUCCAGCAGCCUCGCCUCCCGGGAUUGGCAGGAGCAUCUGUGCCCUGCCCCUCUUCAAAAGAUGACUUUACAUCCUAGUGUCGCUCCCAUUUUAACGUUAGCUCCCCUUAAAAUGUAGAUUGGGAAGACACCAGAGAACAGACUCUAAAAGCAAGUAACUGUCCUUUCUGACUUUGCUCGUUCACAUGAGACUCCUUGCAGAGCUGUAGCCCUCGUGGUACAUGAUGCCUUCAGGGCUGAGGUCUCCUCGGGGACAAAUUCACACCAGCUACCUGCUCUGAUUAUUUUUAUAAAAGGUCAAUUCUUUAUAUACCCAUUGAGCAAUUGAACACUAAGCACUACUCUUCCCCCCCAAAAAACUCUUGAGUUUCAUUCUAGCACCUUAUUUUAAAACUAAGGACAUGUCUUAGCAGAUAAGUCUUCACAACAGAAGACUCAACAGUCAUAAACAGGAAGCCGGAUGGUUCGCAGAUGGUUCCCGUCUGUCCUUCUGCCAAGGACGGACUGACUCCUCUGGACUUGGAGUAGCCCAGAGAAGACCCCAGUGGGAUGUUCUACAAGAGUGCAUAGCCUAAGACCACAGUCCUUAAAAUAAUCACUUCCAGAUAAUAGGAAAUUCCUUCAAAAGGUGAGAUUCUAAUCAUGGAAGGCCUGUAAACACAGGAAUUGGAAGUAUGUCUGGGCAGAAAUUGAAUUCAGUUUCUGAGAAGACUUUUCAUAUCCAAAUGUUUUUCAAACCAAUGGGCCAUGGUAUUGAUUUAAAGAAGCAGUGUUUGUAUUUUAAUAAUGAACUAGAACUCACUAAUGAUAUUAAAAGUUUAAAAUACUAAGCAUAAAGACUACUUUACAUAUAUUUUAAAUAUUACCUGCCUUAUGUGUGUGCAA